GAAAUGCAAUAAGUAAUGUGAAUUGCAAAAUUCAGUGAAUCAUUGAAUUUUUGAACGCACAUUGCGCUCUCUGAUAUUUUAAGAAGCAUGUUUGUUCAAGCAUCAUUACUGCUCUUAAGCGCGACUUGUGUGUUGAGUCAUCGUCUCUCUUCUCAGAGAUGAGCUUGAAAGACAGUGACAACGUCGUGCUUGAUUCUUGAGCAUAUGAGACUUCGUCACUCGCUCAAAAGACUCAAUCAAUCGUUGUCAACUCUCUAUCAACUUCUCAUCAAUUGAUCUUAAAUCAAACAAAAAUACUUGCUGAACUUAA
rnacentral:misc_RNA from 1 species